AUGGCCGCCGCCCCCACGAAUCCCGCGCUGAAGCCCAUCUCCAUCGUGGCGAGCGGCGCCAAGGAGACCACCGAGGAGGUGUACCGGGCGAAGACGCAGCUGGAGUACAUCCUGCUGCGCCCGGACACCCACGUCGGAUCGGUCGCGAAGCACACGCAGAUGAUCUGUGUUUACGAGGAAGGUGGCAUGGUGGAACGGCGUGUCACCUACGUCCCCGCCCUCUAUAAGAUCUUCGACGAGAUCCUCGUCAACGCCGCCGACAACAAGCGGCGCGACCCCUCUAUGGACUCCCUCCGGGUCGACAUCGACGUCGAGGGCGGCUGUAUCUCUGUCUACAACAACGGAGAGGGCAUACCCGUUGAGAUCGACCAGGAGGAGGGCGUCUACCUGCCUGAGGUGUUCUUCGGCCAUCUCAUCUCUAGCAGGGACUACUAUGGCAACGAGCGGAAGACCACCGGCAGGCGGAAUGGCUACGGCGUGAAACUCACCAACAUCUUCUCGAGGGAGUACGUCAUCGAGAUCGCUGAUGGGCGCCGGCAGAAGAAGUACAAGCAGGUUUUCUAUGAAAACAUGGGGAAGAAGUCAGAGCCUGAGAUUAAAAAGUGCGAGCAGUCUGAGAACUGGACCAGAGUUACCUUCAAGCCUGAUCUUGCCAAGUUCAACAUGACCGAGCUCGACAAUGAUGUUGUGGCACUCAUGAGGAAGAGAGUAGUCGAUAUGGCGGGCACCCUUGGCAAAACCGUGAAGGUUGAGUUGAAUGGUCAGAAGGUAGCAGCAAAAAGCUUCUCCGACUACGUGCAACUCUAUACUUACCCUGCUUCCAAAGAAGGACCCGAUCUACCAAGAAUCUACCAGAAGGUAAAUGAUCACUGGGAGGUGUGUGUGAGUCUAAGUGAAGGCCAGUUUCAGCAGGUCAUUUUUGUAAAUGGAAUUGCGACCAUAAGAGGUGGAACUCAUGUUGACUAUGUUGCAGACCAAAUCGCCAACUAUUUGAGGGGCAUUGUAAACAGGAAAAACAAGCACGCUAACAUGAAUUUGGAUACUGCAAAUCGCUACCUAUGGGUAUUUGUUAAUGCUCUCAUUGAAGACCCUGCCUUUGAUUCACCGACCAAAGAGACCUUGAUCACUCGUCAGGGGAAGUUUGGGUCCAAGUGUGAGCUCUCCGAAGUUUUUCUUAAGAAGGUCGCUUGCUCUGGUGUUGUCACCAAUCUCUGUUUUUUGGCCGAGUCUAAACUAAGCAAGGACGACAAUCUGGAUUCUCUCCCACAUUCAUCUACUCCUAUGCAACAUGAUAGAGAAACCAAGAAACGUGACCAUGACGAUGUGUUCCUUGAGCGAUACCUAAAACUGAAGCUGGAAGAAAUUGAUCAGUUUGCUGCAAUUGAGGAGAGGAAGCUGGAGCAUCCAUGCAGCAUUACCAAGUGUAUCACAACAAUCGAAAAGUUACAAGGUCUGCAAGUAGGUGAUAUUUUAGUGGCAGCAGAUAUCUUCAAAAGUAAGAAGAAUAGGGAACUUUUCUUAUCCUUCUCUACAGAUGCUCUUCGGUUGGCUUGGGUUAAAAGGGAGAUUGUGCGCAGCCAAUUGCGGUCACGCAUUAGUGAAGCUUUUAUCCAGUAG
rnacentral:rRNA from 1 species